UACGAAGGGGGCUAGCGUUGCUCGGAAUCACUGGGCGUAAAGGGUGCGUAGGCGGGUUUUUAAGUCAGAGGUGAAAUCCUGGAGCUCAACUCCAGAACUGCCUUUGAUACUGAAAGUCUUGAGUAUGGGAGAGGUGAGUGGAACUGCGAGUGUAGAGGUGAAAUUCGUAGAUAUUCGCAAGAACACCAGUGGCGAAGGCGGCUCACUGGCCCAUAACUGACGCUCAUGCACGACAGCGUGGGGAUCAAACAGG
rnacentral:rRNA from 1 species